rnacentral:rRNA from 1 species
UUAAGCGACUAAGCGUACACGGUGGAUGCCCUGGCAGUCAGAGGCGAUGAAGGACGUGCUAAUCUGCGAUAAGCGUCGGUAAGGUGAUAUGAACCGUUAUAACCGGCGAUUUCCGAAUGGGGAAACCCAGUGUGAUUCGUCACACUAUCAUUAACUGAAUCCAUAGGUUAAUGAGGCGAACCGGGGGAACUGAAACAUCUAAGUACCCCGAGGAAAAGAAAUCAACCGAGAUUCCCCCAGUAGCGGCGAGCGAACGGGGAGGAGCCCAGAGCCUGAAUCAGUGUGUGUGUUAGUGGAAGCGUCUGGAAAGGCGCGCGAUACAGGGUGACAGCCCCGUACACAAAAAUGCACAUAUUGUGAGCUCGAUGAGUAGGGCGGGACACGUGGUAUCCUGUCUGAAUAUGGGGGGACCAUCCUCCAAGGCUAAAUACUCCUGACUGACCGAUAGUGAACCAGUACCGUGAGGGAAAGGCGAAAAGAACCCCGGCGAGGGGAGUGAAAAAGAACCUGAAACCGUGUACGUACAAGCAGUGGGAGCACGCUUAGGCGUGUGACUGCGUACCUUUUGUAUAAUGGGUCAGCGACUUAUAUUCUGUAGCAAGGUUAACCGAAUAGGGGAGCCGAAGGGAAACCGAGUCUUAACUGGGCGUUAAGUUGCAGGGUAUAGACCCGAAACCCGGUGAUCUAGCCAUGGGCAGGUUGAAGGUUGGGUAACACUAACUGGAGGACCGAACCGACUAAUGUUGAAAAAUUAGCGGAUGACUUGUGGCUGGGGGUGAAAGGCCAAUCAAACCGGGAGAUAGCUGGUUCUCCCCGAAAGCUAUUUAGGUAGCGCCUCGUGAAUUCAUCUCCGGGGGUAGAGCACUGUUUCGGCAAGGGGGUCAUCCCGACUUACCAACCCGAUGCAAACUGCGAAUACCGGAGAAUGUUAUCACGGGAGACACACGGCGGGUGCUAACGUCCGUCGUGAAGAGGGAAACAACCCAGACCGCCAGCUAAGGUCCCAAAGUCAUGGUUAAGUGGGAAACGAUGUGGGAAGGCCCAGACAGCCAGGAUGUUGGCUUAGAAGCAGCCAUCAUUUAAAGAAAGCGUAAUAGCUCACUGGUCGAGUCGGCCUGCGCGGAAGAUGUAACGGGGCUAAACCAUGCACCGAAGCUGCGGCAGCGACGCUUAUGCGUUGUUGGGUAGGGGAGCGUUCUGUAAGCCUGUGAAGGUGUGCUGUGAGGCAUGCUGGAGGUAUCAGAAGUGCGAAUGCUGACAUAAGUAACGAUAAAGCGGGUGAAAAGCCCGCUCGCCGGAAGACCAAGGGUUCCUGUCCAACGUUAAUCGGGGCAGGGUGAGUCGACCCCUAAGGCGAGGCCGAAAGGCGUAGUCGAUGGGAAACAGGUUAAUAUUCCUGUACUUGGUGUUACUGCGAAGGGGGGACGGAGAAGGCUAUGUUGGCCGGGCGACGGUUGUCCCGGUUUAAGCGUGUAGGCUGGUUUUCCAGGCAAAUCCGGAAAAUCAAGGCUGAGGCGUGAUGACGAGGCACUACGGUGCUGAAGCAACAAAUGCCCUGCUUCCAGGAAAAGCCUCUAAGCAUCAGGUAACAUCAAAUCGUACCCCAAACCGACACAGGUGGUCAGGUAGAGAAUACCAAGGCGCUUGAGAGAACUCGGGUGAAGGAACUAGGCAAAAUGGUGCCGUAACUUCGGGAGAAGGCACGCUGAUAUGUAGGUGAAGUCCCUUGCGGAUGGAGCUGAAAUCAGUCGAAGAUACCAGCUGGCUGCAACUGUUUAUUAAAAACACAGCACUGUGCAAACACGAAAGUGGACGUAUACGGUGUGACGCCUGCCCGGUGCCGGAAGGUUAAUUGAUGGGGUCAGCGCAAGCGAAGCUCUUGAUCGAAGCCCCGGUAAACGGCGGCCGUAACUAUAACGGUCCUAAGGUAGCGAAAUUCCUUGUCGGGUAAGUUCCGACCUGCACGAAUGGCGUAAUGAUGGCCAGGCUGUCUCCACCCGAGACUCAGUGAAAUUGAACUCGCUGUGAAGAUGCAGUGUACCCGCGGCAAGACGGAAAGACCCCGUGAACCUUUACUAUAGCUUGACACUGAACAUUGAGCCUUGAUGUGUAGGAUAGGUGGGAGGCUUUGAAGUGUGGACGCCAGUCUGCAUGGAGCCGACCUUGAAAUACCACCCUUUAAUGUUUGAUGUUCUAACGUUGACCCGUAAUCCGGGUUGCGGACAGUGUCUGGUGGGUAGUUUGACUGGGGCGGUCUCCUCCUAAAGAGUAACGGAGGAGCACGAAGGUUGGCUAAUCCUGGUCGGACAUCAGGAGGUUAGUGCAAUGGCAUAAGCCAGCUUGACUGCGAGCGUGACGGCGCGAGCAGGUGCGAAAGCAGGUCAUAGUGAUCCGGUGGUUCUGAAUGGAAGGGCCAUCGCUCAACGGAUAAAAGGUACUCCGGGGAUAACAGGCUGAUACCGCCCAAGAGUUCAUAUCGACGGCGGUGUUUGGCACCUCGAUGUCGGCUCAUCACAUCCUGGGGCUGAAGUAGGUCCCAAGGGUAUGGCUGUUCGCCAUUUAAAGUGGUACGCGAGCUGGGUUUAGAACGUCGUGAGACAGUUCGGUCCCUAUCUGCCGUGGGCGCUGGAGAACUGAGGGGGGCUGCUCCUAGUACGAGAGGACCGGAGUGGACGCAUCACUGGUGUUCGGGUUGUCAUGCCAAUGGCACUGCCCGGUAGCUAAAUGCGGAAGAGAUAAGUGCUGAAAGCAUCUAAGCACGAAACUUGCCCCGAGAUGAGUUCUCCCUGACCCUUUAAGGGUCCUGAAGGAACGUUGAAGACGACGACGUUGAUAGGCCGGGUGUGUAAGCGCAGCGAUGCGUUGAGCUAACCGGUACUAAUGAACCGUGAGGCUUAACCUU